rnacentral:rRNA from 1 species
GUGAACGCUGGCGGUAGGCCUAACACAUGCCAGUCGAACGGCAGCACAGUAAGAGCUUGCUCUUACGGGUGGCGAGUGGCGGACGGGUGAGGAAUACAUCGGAAUCUACUUUUUCGUGGGGGAUAACGUAGGGAAACUUACGCUAAUAUCGCAUACGACCUACGGGUGAAAGCAGGGGAUCUUCGGACCUUGCGCGAUUGAAUGAGCCGAUGUCGGAUUAGCUAGUUGGCGGGGUAAAGGCCCACCAAGGCGACGAUCCGUAGCUGGUCUGAGAGGAUGAUCAGCCACACUGGAACUGAGACACGGUCCAGACCCCUACGGGAGGCAGCAGUGGGGAAUAUUGGACAAUGGGCGCAAGCCUGAUCCAGCCAUACCGCGUGGGUGAAGAAGGCCUUCGGGUUGUAAAGCCCUUUUGUUGGGAAAGAAAAGCAGCAGGUUAAUACCCCGCUGUUCUGACGGUACCCAAAGAAUAAGCACCGGCUAACUUCGCG